rnacentral:rRNA from 1 species
CCUACGGGAGGCAGCAGUGAGGAAUAUUGGUCAAUGGGCGCGAGCCUGAACCAGCCAAGUAGCGUGAAGGAUGACUGCCCUACGGGUUGUAAACUUCUUCUAUAAAGGAAUAAAGUGAGGCACGUGUGCCUUUUUGCAUGUACUUUACGAAUAAGGAUCGGCUAACUCCGUGCCAGCAGCCGCGGUAAUACGGAGGAUCCGAGCGUUAUCCAGAUUUAUUGGGUUUAAAGGGAGCGUAGAUGGGUUGUUAAGUCAGUUGUGAAAGUUUGCGGCUCAACCGUAAAAUUGCAAUUGAUACUGGCAGCCUUGAGUACAGUUGAGGGAGGCAGAAUUCGUGGUGUAGCGGUGAAAUGCGUAGAUAUCACGAAGAACUCCGAUUGCGAAGGCAGCUUACUAAACUGCGACUGACAUUGAUGCUCGAAAGUGUGGGUAUCAAACAGGAUUAGAUACCCCAGUAGUC